rnacentral:rRNA from 1 species
UACGUAGGGGGCAAGCGUUGUCCGGAAUCAUUGGGCGUAAAGAGCGCGUAGGCGGUCCGGUAAGUCGGUUGUGAAAACUGGGGGCUCAACCCUCAGAGGCCGACCGAUACUGUCGGGCUAGAGUCCGGAAGAGGCGAGUGGAAUUCCUGGUGUAGCGGUGAAAUGCGCAGAUAUCGGAAGGAACACCAGUAGCGAAGGCGGCUUACUGGUCCGGUACUGACGCUGAGGUGCGAAAGCGUGGGGAGCAAACAGG